UACCUUACUGCGGUGUUUCCCGGCAGGUGUGCCUCCGGCUGUUGCGGGGCUGCGGCUCCCAGCAUGCCCGCAAGGCCAAGGGCUGUCCUGGCGUGCUGGGAGUUGUGUUUUUGCGGCGGCUGGGGGCGCAUUGGUUGGGAAACACUGCCUUACUAGACUUUAUAAGAAAAAU